UUUAGGUUUCGCUCAUGGCAAUUUACUGUAAAGCCGGCAUACCGCACACACACUGAGGGGGAUAGAAAACAGAGGCCUCGUAAAAAUCGCACAUCGUCUUUAAUAACGCGUUCAGCUCGAGCAGAAAUGUGACGUUAUCAAGGAAAUUGACGAGAAAAGGCACCGUAAAGGACACACUUCUGGGAAGGAGAGUCAAGCGGUGGCAAAAUGUAAUUCCACUUUAAUCUUCACCGGGAAUUGUCUAUUAUUCAUGAAAGCAAAAACACGGAGGAAUGAACUGGACGCUCAUGUUUGAGAGGGAAGAGGAAGAAAAAAAGUCUUACUUUUCUGUGUGCCAGCAACAAACUGAGUUAUAAACGCUGACAUCUGGGAUUAAUAACUAGCUGCCGCUGACUGAAGAGUUUCUUAACAAUGUUGUUUUUUUUUUCCCGCCUGCUGGAAGACGACUUCAUCAGUAACAGGAACAACUUCAAGGUUUCAUUCUCCGGGCAUUAAAUCUUUUGCCACUGGACUGAUAUGGUUUACUUUGAAGACUUCAUCCAAGUCAGCUCCAUCAGUUCAAGCUCAAGGCUACUUUGGAAAGCGUGGAGAAGCAGCUGGAGUCCAGUGGCUGUUAUCAGUCCCGCUGAGAGCGACUGAGAAGGGCACUCAGUGGACAGCCACUCGUGGGAGUCUAACAGACAUUGAUGGAACACAUGAGGCUUCCUACAGCACUGGCGGUCUUUUUCCUGCGUGGGGCAGCAGCGAUGCAGCCCUUGUACUAAAAAUGGAGCCCAGCCCUGUCGAAUGAAGCGUCUGACGUCCUCGUACCAAAUUCCGUCUGUCCCUUCAGUCCCCACCGCCUCCUGCCGUCCUCCCCUUCCAAUUUGGAUCAAGCCAGGCAGACAGCAGUAAUCAAGUGGAGCUGACUGGCAGAUGAGCGAACGUCCUGCUUGGAGCCAACGAGCCUCCGAUGUGUGGGCCAAAACGAAAGUGCUGUGAAGUGCCAUUUUUUAACAGUGCAGAAAAUAUGCAUAUACAUUAGUUGCAAUGUCUUUGUUGAUGUCUUAGUGUUUAAAUGGUUUAACACAGGCAUAUUAAGCAAUUUCUUCUUCACUGUUUAAAACACCACAACAGGGGGAACUAGGAGGUUGCGAUGACACUAGUAGCUACUACUAGUCCAGAGUGUGAAAAAAAUAACAACUUUUGGUAACUGUGUUGUGCCAUGAGAUUUUCAAAUGUAAAAUAUGCGCCUUGGCUCAAUAAUAGUAGGGAACUCAUUAGGAGGAAUGAGCUAAAUUUGUGAGUGCUUGGCUUUCAGGCAGCAACAUAAGAUGUGCACUCUGAAACAAUAGCUUCCAGCAGCAGAAGCCUUGUCAAGAGAAAUCUGCAUUUCUUUGUACAACAAUGACCAUUUUCUUCUUCUCCUUGCCCCCCCCACCCAUCUAAAUGACAAUAGACAGAAUCAAUCUUAUUGUUUGACGUGCCCCAGUGUGCCGCAGAUGUCACCACAGACAAACAAAAAAACAACCCGAAAUACAAUAAGCGAUGUUCGUGAACCUAUCAAUCAGUUGUGAGUGCAUUUUAAAUUCCCUGAGACACUGGGGAAGAAAGCGUUAAUUUACUCGACGGUCCUUGUGGUCCCUCUCGCACGCUCAAUGCUAAUGAAGGUAAAAUAAUGCACGAGACAGGUGGCGGGGGAGCGUCCUGUGCUUGUCUCAUUAUACGGACAUUCACCGACAAGAAUACACAGAGGAAGAUUUUUCUCUGCGUAUCGUUCCCUAAUUCACAUGUCCUUGUAAUCCACCCCUGAAGAAAAAAGAAAGAGCUAAAAAGCAAGCUUGUAUAAACCACCAAUGUUUUAUGUGAUGUGUUGUAUUGUUAUUUUAUGUCACGUGUUCUGUAAAGUGCUUUGUUAUGGCAACAGCUGCUGUGAAAGUGCCAUCUACUGUAAAUAAAGAUCUAUUUUAUUGCAUUAUAUUAUAUAUAUGUAUAUAUGAAAAAGUAUCAGCA